GUUCCCGUAGCGGAGUGGUUACCGCGUGACUCUUAUAAAAUCAGGAUGCUUUUGGUUUUAUGGUUAGACAUGUCAAGGUCCGGGGUUCGACCCCCCGCGGGAACA